rnacentral:rRNA from 1 species
UACGGAGGGUGCAAGCGUUAUCCGGAUUCACUGGGUUUAAAGGGUGCGUAGGCGGGCAGGUAAGUCAGUGGUGAAAUCUCCGAGCUUAACUCGGAAACUGCCGUUGAUACUAUUUGUCUUGAAUAUUGUGGAGGUAAGCGGAAUAUGUCAUGUAGCGGUGAAAUGCUUAGAUAUGACAUAGAACACCAAUUGCGAAGGCAGCUUACUACACAACGAUUGACGCUGAGGCACGAAAGCGUGGGGAUCAAGCAGG